AAACCAACUGGGAUUGCCUUAGUAACGGCGAGUGAAGCGGCAAAAGCUCAAAUUUGAAAUCUGGUACCUUUGGUGCCCGAGUUGUAAUUUGGAGAGUACCACUUUGGGACUGUACUUUGCCUAUGUUCCUUGGAACAGGACGUCAUGGAGGGUGAGAAUCCCGUGUGGCGAGGGUGUCAGUUCUUUGUAAAGGGUGCUCGAAGAGUCGAGUUGUUUGGGAAUGCAGCUCUAAGUGGGUGGUAAAUUCCAUCUAAAGCUAAAUACAGGCGAGAGACCGAUAGCGAACAAGUACAGUGAUGGAAAGAUGAAAAGAACUUUGAAAAGAGAGUGAAAAAGUACGUGAAAUUGUUGAAAGGGAAGGGCAUUUGAUCAGACAUGGUGUUUUGCGCCCCUUGCCUCUCGUGGGCUUGGGACUCUCGCAGCUCACUGGGCCAGCAUCGGUUUUGGCGGCCGGAAAAAACCUAGGGAAUGUGGCUCUGCGCCUCGGUGUAGAGUGUUAUAGCCCUGGGGAAUACGGCCAGUCGGGACCGAGGACUGCGAUACUUGUUAUCUAGGAUGCUGGCAUAAUGGUUAUAU
rnacentral:rRNA from 1 species